rnacentral:rRNA from 1 species
UACGUAGGGGGGCAAGCGUUGUCCGGAUUCAUUGGGCGUAAAGAGCGUGUAGGCGGCCAGGUAGGUCGGUUGUGAAAACUGGAGGCUCAACCUUCAGAGGUCGACCGAAACCAUCUGGCUAGAGUCCGGGAGAGGAGAGUGGAAUUCCUGGUGUAGCGGUGAAAUGCGUAGAUAUUGGGAGGAACACCGGUGGCGAAGGCGGCCCUCUGGACCGGUACUGACGCUGAGGUGCGAAAAGCGUGGGGGAGCAAACAGG